UACGUAGGGGGCGAGCGUUAUCCGGAAUCACUGGGCGUAAAGGGCGCGUAGGUGGCGGGAUAAGCGUGUGGUGAAAGCCCGGGGCUCAACCCCGUGUCUGCCAUGCGGACUGUCUUGCUCGAGCGUAGUAGAGGCAGGUGGUAUUCCGGGUGUAGCGGUGGAAUGCGUAGAGAUCCGGAAGAACACCGGUGGCGAAGGCGGCCUGCUGGGCUACUGCUGACACUGAGGCGCGACAGCGUGGGGAGCAAACAGG
rnacentral:rRNA from 1 species